AAUCAACGCUGGCGGCGUGCCUCAGACAUGCAAGUCGAACGCGAAAGUUUCCUUCGGGGAACAAGUAGAGUGGCGCACGGGUGAGUAACACGUAGGUAAUCUACCUUUGGAUGGGGAAUAACAAUCGGAAACGGUUGCUAAUACCGCAUAAUGCAGCGGCACCUAAUGGUGACAGUUGUUAAAGCGGGGGAUCGAAAGACCUCGCGUCUGAAGAGGAGCCUGCGGCGGAUUAGCUAGUUGGUAAGGUAAUGGCUUACCAAGGCUACGAUCCGUAACCGGCCUGAGAGGGCGGUCGGUCACACUGACACUGACAUACGGGUCAGACUCCUACGGGAGGCAGCAGUCGGGAAUUUUGGGCAAUGGGCGAAAGCCUGACCCAGCAACGCCGCGUGAAGGAAUGAAAUCCCUCGGGAUGUAAACUUCGCAAGAACGGGAAGAAUAAGCGAGAGUUAAUAUCUCUCGUGAUGACGGUACCGUUUGUAAGCUCCGGCUAACUCCGUGCCAGCA
rnacentral:rRNA from 1 species